GCUGCCGGAUAGGGUAAACAACGGGGUGCAGACUGCUUAAACUGUUUGAUUGGAUUACUGCCGACGGGAGCGCUCCUACCUGAUCGUUUUUCAGUCAAUUCAAGGCAUUAAUUUAUGGGCGCAACUCCAAGCUACAUGAUCUGUUUCGGGAAUGUCUGAAGAAAAUCAUUAACAAAAAAGAACGAAAAAUUGUGGGAUCAUUUGGAACUUGUACAACCAGAAGUGUAUUAAAAAACUCAUCCUA